CAGUAGCCGCGGGAAUACAGAGGGUGCGAGCGUUAAUCGGAUUUACUGGUCGUAAAGCGUGCGUAGGCGGCUUCUUAAGUCGGAUGUGAAAUCCCUGAGCUUAACUUAGGAAUUGCAUUCGAUACUGGGAAGCUAGAGUAUGGGAGAGGAUGGUAGAAUUCCAGGUGUAGCGGUGAAAUGCGUAGAGAUCUGGAGGAAUACCGAUGGCGAAGGCAGCCAUCUGGCCUAAUACUGACGCUGAGGUACGAAAGCAUGGGGAGCAAACAGGAUUAGAUACCCCUGUAGUCCCUGUCUCUUAUAC
rnacentral:rRNA from 1 species